UAAACUAGGAUUAGAUACCCUAUUAUUGAAAAUGUAAAUUAUGAUACUUGAUUAGUAUUAGUUAUGUUCUUGAAAUUCAAAGAAUCUGGCGGUAUUUUAGUCUAUUCAGAGGAACCUGUUCCGUAAUUGAUGGUCCACGAUUAAUUGAACUUAUUUUAUUGGUUUGUAUAUCGUCGUAGUUUGAAUGUUUUAUAAGAAUAGGGAAUAUUCAAGAUUUAUAAAGUUAAUAGAAAUCAGAUCAAGAUACAGCGUAUAAAUAAGAGGAGAUGGGUUACAAUAAAUUUAUUUAAAUGGUUAGUUUAAUUAACAUUAUUCUAUAAAGUGGAUUUGAAAGUAAUAUUAUUAAGUUAAAUAAUAUGAUUUUAGCUCUAAAAUAUGCACAUAUCGCCCGUCGCUCCCAUUUUAAGAUGGGAUAAGUCGUAACAAAGUAGGUGUACUGGAAAGUGUACCUGGUACGGCAAAUUAGAGCUUGUUAGAAAGUAUUUUAUUUACAUUAAAAAGUUAGUUGUGAGAAUCAAUUUAAUUUGAAACUAAAAAUUUAUAUUAAUUUAUUAAAAAAAAUAUUUUUAUUAUUAGUAUUUUUUAGAAUAUAAGAUUUAUAUUAUAGAGAAAUGUAUAGUGAUAGGUUAUUGAAAUAUUAUAUUUAAUUAUUGAAAAGAAAAAUUGAAUUUUUGUACCUUGUGUAUCAGGGUUUAUUAAAAUAGUUUAAUAAAUUUAAGUUUCUCGAAUUAAAAAGAGCUAAAUAUUAUACAUAUUUAAUUGUUUGAAUAAAUUUUUAAAAUAUUAUAUUAGAAAUGAAACGUUAUUCGUUUUUUAAGAUAUCUAGUUUUUUAAGAAAUAAAUUUAAUUUAGUUUAUUAUUUAUAUUUAAUUAAUUGAUUAGUUAAAUGUAAUUAUAAUUUAAUAUUUUAAGGGAUAAGCUUUAAAGUAAAUUUAUAUAAUAAUUAUUUUAUAAAAAAAAAUUAUAGGAUUGGAAGUUUUUAUUGAAUAGUGUAUUAUAACUAAUUUUUUUUAUUAUAAGAUUUAUAUACAUAUAUUUAUGUUUUAUAUUAAAAUAAUUUAAUUAAUAGGGUUUUAUAUAAAAUAAUGAUAAAAUUAGUAUAAUUUAAUGUAUAAUUAAUUUAAAAAAGCAAGGUUAAGUUAAGGAACUCGGCAAAUAUAUUUUUCGCCUGUUUAUUAAAAACAUGUCUUUUUGAUAAUAAUUUAAAGUCUAACCUGCCCAAUGAGGAGUUGAAUGGCCGCGGUAUUUUGACCGUGCAAAGGUAGCAUAAUCAUUAGUUUUUUAAUUGAAAGCUGGAAUGAAUGGUUGGACGAGAAAAUAACUGUCUCAGUUUAAUUUUAAUUAGAAUUUUAUUUUUAAGUAAAAAAGCUUAAAUUUAUUUAAAAGACGAGAAGACCCUAUAGAGUUUUAUAUUCUUUAUUAUUUAAGUGUUUUAGAAUUAUCCUUAAUUUUAUAAUAAAGAGUAUUUUGUUGGGGUGACAGAAAAAUUUAAGAAACUUUUUUUUAUUAUUACAUUGAUUUAUGAUUAUAUGAUCCGUUACUAACGAUUAAAAGAUUAAAUUACCUUAGGGAUAACAGCGUAAUUUUUUUUGAGAGUUCUUAUCGAAAAAAGAGUUUGCGACCUCGAUGUUGGAUUAAAAUUAAUUUUUGGUGUAGAAGCUAAAAAGGGAGGUCUGUUCGACCUUUAAAAUUUUACAUGAUCUGAGUUCAAAACCGGAGA
rnacentral:rRNA from 1 species